rnacentral:rRNA from 1 species
UGGGGAAUAUUGCACAAUGGGCGCAAGCCUGAUGCAGCCAUGCCGCGUGUAUGAAGAAGGCCUUCGGGUUGUAAAGUACUUUCAGCGAGGAGGAAGGCGUUGUGGUUAAUAACCGCAACGAUUGACGUUACUCGCAGAAGAAGCACCGGCUAACUCCGUGCCAGCAGCCGCGGUAAUACGGAGGGUGCAAGCGUUAAUCGGAAUUACUGGGCGUAAAGCGCACGCAGGCGGUCUGUCAAGUCGGAUGCGAAAUCCCCGGGCUCAACCUGGGAACUGCAUCCGAAACUGGCAGGCUAGAGUCUUGUAGAGGGGGGUAGAAUUCCAGGUGUAGCGGUGAAAUGCGUAGAGAUCUGGAGGAAUACCGGUGGCGAAGGCGGCCCCCUGGACAAAGACUGACGCUCAGGUGCGAAAGCGUGGGGAGCAAACA